rnacentral:rRNA from 1 species
GUUGCAAAGCUGAAACUUAAAGGAAUUGACGGAAGGGCACCACCAGGAGUGGASCCUGCGGCUUAAUUUGACUCAMCACGGGAAACCUCACCAGGCCCGGACACCAGAAGGAUUGACAGAUUAAGAGYUCUUUCUCGAUUUGGUGGGUGGUGGUGCAUGGCCGUUCUUAGUUGGUGGAGUGAUUUGUCUGGUUAAUUCCGGUAACGAACGAGACUCUGGCCUACUAAAUAGUCGACGGGCGUUUUGGUGCAUGGGCCCCGUUCGACACAGUCUUCUUAGAGGGAUGAGCAGCGAGUAUAGCUGCAGGAGAUUGAGCAAUAACAGGUCUGUGAUGCCCUUAGAUGUCCUGGGCCGCACGCGCGCUACACUGAAUGGGUUAGCGGGUUGUCCUUCUCCGAGAGGAGCGGGAAAUCGCGUGAAAACCAUUCGUGAUAGGGAUUGGGGCUUGCAAUUGUUUCCCAUGAACGAGGAAUUCCCAGUAAGCGCAAGUCAUCAGCUUGCGUUGAUUAAGUCCCUGCCCUUUGUACACACCGCCCGUCGCUACUACCGAUUGAAUGAUUUAGUGAGGCCUUCGGACUGGCGGUCUUGGACUGGGGCGCCGGCGUUCUCCCAGCAAUGGGGUGGGUGCCGGUCACUMGCCUUGACGGGCCGGAAAGAUGUCCAAAACUCGAUCAGCYUGAGGAAGUAAAAGUSAAACAARWUUCUGUAGGAACCCUC